rnacentral:lncRNA from 1 species
AUGAAAAAUAAGGUAUUUUAAAGGCAGAGUUUCUCAAUAGUGUAAUAACUGAUUUCUAUUUAAAUCCAACUAAACUAACCAUUACUUUCUGACACUUUUGAGCUUGCGUUCCUUUAGGCUUUCUAUGUGUUUCUGGCAGCUUAUUUGGUCUCCAUUUUGUCCACAUUUGCUGGUUUUCCUUUUCCAAUGGCGAUAUGGAAAUGUUCAUUUGAUAGUUUUUACACACAAAUAAAUAAUGCACUGUUAACUCUACAACUAAGAGGAAUGGGUAGGAUGCCUAUUGCAUAACAAUACAGAGAGAUCAAGUAAGGCACGGGACAGAUACAGCAACUCCACUUCAUGGGAUUUUCCUGUUUUUUUCCUUUCACAUAGUAACACUAACAAAUUUCUUCCAGUGUUUAUUUUUUAAAAGGUUUCUUUUUUUUUUGCUUUAACUUUGCUUCUUGUCUAUCUCACACUAUGUGUAGGUGAAAUGUAAGAUAAAGGCCUUCAAUGUUUUGCUUCAGAUGCCAGUUUAAAAACAAAAAGACAAAAACAAACUUUCAAACAGUUCAGACUAGUACCGCUUUUUUUUCUUCUUUGUUUUUUUUUCCCCUUUUAACACUGAUGAACCUGGGUUUUCGUUUUGCUUUCUUUCCUCCUCGCUCUCUCUUUCUUUUUUUCCUUGGUUAUUAUUUUUAUUUUUUACUUUUUUUUUUUUUGAUACACACACGUCACGCUGUUUCUGGGGUAUCCUUUAGCUGCAUUUGCAAGACUUUACAAUCAUGUUGGACAGCUGUUCGAUUUUGGGUGUUUUGCCAAUGUAGUAGAGGAUGGUGAGGGGCUCUAAAUCCUGGGACACGCAGCACGGAGAGGCAGAAGCUUCUGGAUUUAUGGUGUUAUACAAGCUGAGUACUCUGCUGUGCUGAGU